UGUCGAGAAGGUCACACCCGUUCCCAUCCCGAACACGGUAGUUAAGCUUCUCUGCGCCAAUGGUAGUUGGGGGCUUCCCCCUGCGAGAGUAGGUCGCUGCCGGGC
rnacentral:rRNA from 1 species